rnacentral:rRNA from 1 species
CCUACGGGUGGCAGCAGUGAGGAAUAUUGGUCAAUGGGCGAGAGCCUGAACCAGCCAAGUCGCGUGAGGGAAGACGGUCCUACGGAUUGUAAACCUCUUUUGUCAGGGAGCAAGGAGCGCCACGAGUGGUGCGGCGAGAGUACCUGAAGAAAAAGCAUCGGCUAACUCCGUGCCAGCAGCCGCGGUAAUACGGAGGGUCCGGGCGUUAUCCGGAUUUAUUGGGUUUAAAGGGAGCGUAGGCCGCAUGUCAAGCGUGCUGUGAAAUGUCCGGGCUCAACCCGGGCCUUGCAGCGCGAACUGGCGUGCUUGAGUCCGCGGAAAGCAGGCGGAAUUCGUCGUGUAGCGGUGAAAUGCUUAGAUAUGACGAAGAACCCCGAUUGCGAAGGCAGCUUGCUGCAGCGGAACUGACGCUGAUGCUCGAAAGCGCGGGUAUCGAACAGGAUUAGAUACCCUUGUAGUC